GCCUCUCCUCUCGGCCCGUCUGGCCUCGGGCCGCUUUCGCCGCACCCCUGGAGGAGGCGGCUGAAAGAUGAUACUUGAAUUACUUGAAUUUAAGCUUGCCGCUUUUACUUAUCAGUGUAUUCUCAUGUACGCUUGUAAAAGAAAUAUUUUCAGCCCAUUUCUUGUUUCCUGGUUACCUUGUUUGCCGGUUUUUUUCGUGUGUCAGUGUUACGGUCAUAAUUGUCCAAUGUGCUGAGGAAAGGAAGAUUCAGAUUAGCUAUUAGAAAACAUAUUUUCAUUAUUCGAGUGUUCAGGCAUUGCAAUGGGAUGCCCAGCGAGGUGGCCGAGACACCAUUCCUGGAGCUGAGGCAUCCAAACCUGGCAUUGUGUGAUGCAAUUUAACUUGCAGCCCCUGGUACAUGCGUUUAGAAAGUGCUUAUGACUACAGUUGCUUUUGCAGUCUCUUUUAGGACAGUCUAAUUUUAAAAUAUUUUUGGCAUACAUUUAAUACAAGAAAUCUCAGCAAGUUUCCUAGUAUCUUUUAAACAAUGUAGGUAACACAUAUUUCUUAGUUCCAGAUGCAGUUCCUAAACUUCAGGCAAUGCUUAAAUUGCUGAAGAAAUACUAAAAUGUGAGACAAACGGAAAGGAGAUGUAUAUGAUAGUGUGGGAACAAGAAGUUUACAAGGCUGCAGGAGGAGGCUGGACAAGUACAUGAAAGUACAAGUAACAAAAUUCAAGGAAGGUUCUUGUUGGCCAGAAUGUGCCUGCUUUCUGGGAUGCUGGGGACUGUGAAGGUAUUUUUUCUUUCUAGCUCUUGCUUUUUGUCCCUGAAUAUGAGAACAAGGCUGGGAGGACUUAUUUCAGCCAUUGCUGAAAUGUCAGCAAUCUGCACAACUUGUGAUUUCUGAUUAACAUAUUUUUCUCUCCAGUUUUGUCUCAUUUUUGACUAACUGGGGGCAUAAAUGACAUGAUUAUGCCACACCUGAAGCAGCAAUUCUGUUGCUUAAUAGGAAUAAACUACUAUGAUGAACAUGAACAUGCUGUUACUUGUAGUAUCAUAAGUAAAAAUAAAGCAUUGGAAACAGCUCACUCUUUCUAUUUUAGACAAUGUUGCAGAAAUCUUAUUCUAUGGAUGCUUACCACAGGCAUCAAGUUUAGAGUGGCCAACAUGGCCAACUGAUUCUAUGAGUGUUCAUAAACGUAAGCACUCCUGAGGUUUCAUACCAUAAUUGAUAAAAUUGGUAACUGAACUUGACAGGUAAGUUGAUAUUUUCUGGUUUUUGUUUUUCAGUGAACCACUAUCUUUGUGUAGUUUUUUCCUCAAAAACUUUGUUUGUUCUAUGUAUGCUGAUAAGGAAUCUGAAUUUAAGAAGUACCUGAAAUCCAAGUGACAGCUGGAUUAAAAAAAGUAAAAAAUAAGAUAAAAGUCCUUUAUUUGCAUGGGAGUCAAAGAUUAAUCUGUACAAGUUUGGUAGUGAUAGGAGAUGCCCUUCCUCUGAUGAAUUCUGUUGCAAAAUUCUGUGCUCUCAUAAGAUAAAAUAUUGCUGUCAGUAUUGAGCUUACAAAGGUGAUGUCCCUCUUUAACCACCAUGGUCUUUUUACAGACAAGAGUAGACAGAAAGGGGAGCUCUUUAGUAACAUUUUGAGUUUUCUAGUAAAAAUAAAGACUUUUCACCAGGAGUAACUGAAAUACCUGAGCAGAUUCUUAGAUAGUAAAAGCUCUAAAGCUGCCCAACAUCAACGAGAGGUCUGUCCUGGAUGAAUUUCUCGCUUCUUCUUCUGCAUAUGUGGUAAUAUAUAAUAAUACUUAUGUGGUACAUAUGUCUGUGCCUUGCACCAUCUGUGUUACUGCUGUGGCUCCAUUCUCUGAUGUUUAUUAUCUUUUAGCAUGUAGCUUAUCGGUAUGUUAUUUAUUAUAAACCCCAGAACUAUGACUGCUGAAUUGAUUUGUUGUAUGAAUGUGCAUUGUCUGAUGCAUAUUUCAUUUUUGUUUCUCCCUGUGCAUAAACAGUAUACUUUUAUGAUUGUCUUUAAUUAGAGAAAGCCUCAGAUGUUCUGAUGCUUAUUGUUAUGGGAUUUUUCUAAAAAAAGAAAAAUUCUUAUGCCUAGGAGCAGCACUAGUAAUCAUAAUCAAGUCCACUAUGUUUUGGAGCAGGAGAGAAAUGGUGCCAGCAUUGCUGAGGUUUUAUGCUCCAUCAAUAACAGCAUAUGUGGCUUCAGCUAAGCUGCAGCAUGAAAUGCUACAGUUGCAAGAGUGAAAUAUAGCCAAGGCACAGACUGUACCUUCAGCUGUGAUGUGACUGGAGCGAUGUCCAUAUCCUUACAUGGGAAUAGUUGUGGUAGAUAAAAUGUUACUGGAAUGCCAUGACUGGAGGAUAUGUGGAGGAUAUGUGGAGGAUUCUGUCAUGCUUUUUUUUCGGUCAGUACUACAUUGCAAAGGAUGUGAGUUACUCAUGUCUUUGUACAGAAGAAAGAAAAGAGAGAGCAAUGAACACUAGAAGCUGUUUACAUGAAAUUUAGCACUUAAUGGCAGGAAAAAUGCAUAAUUUAAGAUUUAUUUAAGCUGGAUUUUUUUUCCUUUUAAUUUCAAAAACUAUGUAUUGUUGUUUUGGUUGGCAUCCUGACUUAACGGUGGAUAUGUUAACAGCCCCUAAGAAGCAGCUCAUCCAUAUGCUGAAGAAGACUGUGUGCUCAGUUUCCUGCAGAGUGCUGGAUGAAGCAUGGAAGCAGGCAGGCUGUGCAGCAAACUGAGACAUUCUGUGCCUCUGGUGCUACUGUGUAAUGCAAGAAAAUAAGAAGUUCCUUGUAUUUGAAUGGAGAUUGUUCCUGUUUGUGCAGCCAUUACUGUAUACACUGUCAGAAGAUUUGACUCCCUAUAUCUAAAAUUCAUCCAAAUCCUCUAAAAGUGACACAGGAGAUGUUGUAGACAAAAGUUAUACUUAGACCAAAAUAAAAACUAUCCAAAGAGUAAAGAAAAAUGGAACACGCAAUAGAAGUUUGUGGAAAAUUCCAGUCACUACCUGGAUCUGGAUACAAUUGGCAAAGAGGACAAAAGAACUAAUGGCAUGGAUUUAAUGGAUCAAGUUUCUCUUCUGCAGUUCAUCUCUUCAUUAAUGGCCCAUGAAAAGUGAAGACCAAGAUAUUUGGACCAAAGAGCUGCCAGAGACUAAACCAACCAUUACCUCUUGAAAGAUUGCAUCAUUGAUGCUUUAAAUUAAAGCUUUAUUGCCAUUGUAAAAUGUCUGUGAGUUACCCAGAGAAAAUAAAAUAUAUGGUUUUCAGAGAAUGGUCAUUAUUUUUCAGCUAAAUAAGAAAUGUCCUUUCCCCUUGGGAGCAGUGUGAAAUGGAGCCCUCUGUAGGUCUUCCUCAGCUAGAUUCCUGGCCAAAGCCUAUUCUGCCUUUUCCAUGCACAUCUGGUUCUUUGUUCCUUUUGAAAGAGGUGAAUCAAGGUUUGGGUCACAUCUGCAGGCCCUAUUCUAACAGUAAAAUAAAAAGAACCGUAUUUUUUUUAUGGAAGAAAGCAAUUUUCCAGCUGAUCUAAGAGAAAGAUGGGGGUUGUUUAGCCUGGAUAAAUGGAGACUUGGGGGGGACCUUACUGCUCUCCAAUCUACCUGAAAGAGUACCUAUUAUAGAUAGGUGGAGAUUGGUCUUUUCUCCCAUGUAACAACAAUUGGACAAGAGGAAAUGGCCUCGAGUUGUGCCAGGUUAGGUUGGAUAUUAGAAUACAUUUCUUCACUUAAAGGGUAGCAAAGCACUGAAAUGGGCUGCCCGGGGUAGUGAUGGCAUCGCCAUCCCCAAAAGUGUUCAAAAAGUGUAUGUAUGUGGUGUUUGGGGACGUGGGUAAGUGAUGGGCUUGGCAGUGGUGGCUUAAUGGUUGGGCUUGAUGAUCUCAGAGGUCUUUUCCAACCUCAGCAAUUCUGUGAUUCUGUGAUACUGUGGUUUAGUGGUGAACAUGGCAGUAACAGGUUAAUGUUUGGACCUGAUGAUAAAAGCCUUUUCCAACCUAAACAAAUCUGUGAUUCUCUGGCUCUGUGGUACAACCUUCUCCUGUGUCUAGCUUGGGGUGCCAUGGGAGAAAAAACCACUGCCUCAGGCUGCUGCAGGCCCACAGGGGUUUGGGUCAACAGUUUUUGGGCUACAGUUCCCUGACAGGACUGUUUGUGACUCAGUGACCACAGUGGGAGGCAGGGCCCAGCCUGUGGAGAGUGGCUGUUCAAGAACCAAACAUUUUUUGUGUGAAAGAGAUGGUAAUGUUUUAAUGAAGAUGCAGAGGUUUGGAGCUCCAUACUGUGACUCAGGAGCAUUCAGAUGUAGUUCAAAAUAUCAGUGUGCAAGGGAAAUACCUCAAUAAUUGCUGGAUGCAGUGGCACAGUCAGCUCCAAAGAGCUACUUCAUGCUGGACAAAAUGGCUCUCACAGGCACUCAAUCACAAGACUUCCUGUUUCUGAAUAACAGAAAUAUUCUCAGCUGAGAAAUUUGGUCACUGAUAGUAUCCUGGCAGCUUGAGAAACAGCCAUUUCUCUGUGAAUA